AAUCAUUUUAUUGUUGCUAGCUUCACGGAACUCCUGUCGAUUUAGAGGGACAAUUUACACACUGUUGCAUCGGGUAGACGCGAUGAUUAGACUGAGGCUGUUUCUGGUGUUUCUGACAGGAUAGACCUGAAGCAACGUUUAAAAUGAUUUAUGUCGGCGAACGUGCGCUUGAGAGGAUAUUGUCUUUGAUACUUCUAGUAAUAGUGGUUCUGUCCUGGGGAUAUGUCAUCUAUGCAACAAGAAUCGCAGCAAAGUGGCAACUGGAAAAGCAAUUCAAGACCACAAACUGACCUCUCAAUUUGGAACUGAAUGAAACCAGAUACAUCAGAAACCGUGGGUCAAAUACUUGGAUGUUUAAAACAACAACAAAAAAAAUGAUUGUACACUCUAUGCUCAUCUGAUCUUUUU